rnacentral:misc_RNA from 1 species
UUUCUCCUUUCUUGAAUCUAGGUUCUCUCUCUCUGUUUUUUCUAAUAUUUCUUUCCUUUCUCAAUUCUCCCUUCUCAAAUCUGUUUUUUCUCUUCUAAUUCUAUUCUUUUCCUAAAAUAUGUAACUCCUCUAAUCCUCUUCUCUUUUCCCUUUUUCCGUGGAUACCAUCCGCCCCAUCAAGAUUUAUCUUUGUUUCUUCUCAUUAUUUCUCUAAAUAUUUACCCAUUUGAUUACACCAAAUUUUGCCAUGGAUUAUGUUCCUUUCUCAGUUA